CAAAGCACCACUUAAUUAGCUCCAAAAUGGCCAAUGAGUCCAAACCCAGUAAUGGCCGGCCGAAGUGCUUCUUUGCUUCUCUCAAAAACUGAUCGUUACAGUCAGCCAGCGGUGGUGGAGAUAGCUGAUGCUUUCGAUCAUUUGGGAUAUCGAUUAAGAGAAGAUUCCAGCAGCUCAAUGGUGACAACAACUUAAGAAUUGGGGUUUCUCUGCCACUUGCGAGCUAGGGAGGGAGAGAGAGUGGAAAACCAACUAAAGUUCGUCCAAAUCAAUUUGCGUUGCGUUUAAGCACGGCAAGAAAGAGAGUUGCAUCCAUUGACUCAAAGAUGGAGGGAUUCUCUUCAAGUUUCUUGCGGUACAAGUCAAAGAGCUCAUCUAAAAU